UUUGAAUAGAUCUGCUUAGAGUCAUAUUAGUAUCUACUUGGCCCAUUGUUCAUGUCUUUUUCCUUACAGAUAAAUGUCGGCUUGAUGACCAUUAAAAGGGUGGUUUGAAGCCAUACCGUGGAAAAACUAUUUUCCUAACAACAGACCCUGACGCUACUGCCACAAGUCUGCUCAAUCAAGCUGUUAAAAAAUGAAGGACUUUAACAAAGAUCUAAAAGAUGGACCUUUCCUUCUGUAUCCGGAUGGCACUGAGGUCAUUACUGUCCCUGGAACACAAAGACCAUUUACACUUGAGGCUUAUAAGGCUGAAGUUGGCAAGCCUUAUCAAAGAAUCACUGUUUUCAUCUGCUUGAAGAGUGACUUUGAAGAUGUUGGAGAAAACUCAGACUUGUCUGACUCUGACCCAGAGAUUGUUAUUAAAAGGCCCUCUGAGUUUGAUCUUGCUGAUACACUGCCAUUGGAACUUCAACAUGAAAGCAGUCCUUUACAGAAAGCGGCAGAAUAUGAGAAGGGUGCUGGGGAUCUUGUGCUUGCUAAUGAAGUACAACAGGUAAAAAACUAUUUUAUUAGUAAAACAGUGCAGCAGACAAUCUCCACCGCCUUUACUUUGCAAUUAGAUAACGAUUCACUGUUUGCUGAGCCCCCAGAAGAACCUGUGUUAGUAAUUUAAACAUUUGAAUCCAAUUAACCGCCAUCUUGUUCUGUACAAGACAUCAUGCAAUCAUGAGAGAAGUAUAUAUACCUUUAAAAAAAAAAGUUUCCCUUUUUUUUAGAGACACCAAUUUGCAGGCACAUGGAAUUAUUGCAAAUUUGGCACUGGAACUUGACCACAAGAAGGUCAGCAGAUUCAAUAUAUCAAGGUCAGCUGUAUGGGAUGGAGCUGUUAGAGGAUUUCGACGCAGCACAUACUCUGACAACUACGACAUGUUCAUCAAGUUUAAUGAUGAUGCUGGCAGCUUUGAAGAAGGUUUGGAUACAGGUGGCCCGAGGCGUGAAUUCCUCACACUUCUUAUGGGCAGUCUGCGAAAUCGCCCCAUCUUUGAUGGACCUCCAGAGAGCCGUUAUCUUGUAUAUAAUUCAAGAGCUGCCAGGCAAGAUGAGUACUUUU
ensembl:lncRNA